rnacentral:rRNA from 1 species
GUGGGGAAUAUUGGACAAUGGGCGAAAGCCUGAUCCAGCCAUGCCGCGUGUGUGAAGAAGGUCUUCGGAUUGUAAAGCACUUUAAGUUGGGAGGAAGGGCAGUAAGUUAAUACCUUGCUGUUUUGACGUUACCGACAGAAUAAGCACCGGCUAACUUCGUGCCAGCAGCCGCGGUAAUACGAAGGGUGCAAGCGUUAAUCGGAAUUACUGGGCUUAAAGCGCGCGUAGGUGGUUUUGUAAGUUGGAGGUGAAAUCCCCGGGCUCAACCUGGGAACUGCCUCCAAAACUGCAUGACUAGAGUACGGUAGAGGGUAGUGGAAGUUCCUGUGUAGCGGUGAAAUGCGUAGAUAUAGGAAGGAACACCAGUGGCGAAGGCGACUACCUGGACUGAUACUGACACUGAGGUGCGAAAGCGUGGGGAGCAAACAGGAUUAGAAACCCUGGUAGUCC